rnacentral:tRNA from 1 species
GGAAAGACUUGUUAUUGGUGAGACACUUCAGUUGCUAUCUGAACGAAUAAUAUUCUUAUGGGUUCAAAUCCCGUUCUUUCCA